UACGGAGGAUCCAAGCGUUAUCCGGAAUCAUUGGGUUUAAAGGGUCCGCAGGCUGUUGUUUAAGUCAGAGGUGAAAGUUUGCAGCUCAACUGUAAAAUUGCCUUUGAUACUGGAUGACUUGAGUUAUAAUGAAGUGGUUAGAAUAUGUAGUGUAGCGGUGAAAUGCAUAGAUAUUACAUAGAAUACCGAUUGCGAAGGCAGAUCACUAAUUAUAUACUGACGCUGAGGGACGAAAGCGUGGGGAGCGAACAGG
rnacentral:rRNA from 1 species